UCCUCUUUAGAAGAAUUGAAUGUUCAAAAUUGCCCUAAUCUGGGGAAAUUGUUGUAUCGCAUAUCAUUUUUAAUCACUUGCCUCAAAACACUUACGAUUUGUAAGUGCCCUGAAUUACAAAACUUGCAAAUGGUGGAUCGCCUUACCUCUUUACAAGUAUUGUCAAUCAGUGAAUGUCCAAAAUUGUCGGAAAGAUGUGAAAAGGAAACCGGAAUCUUGUGGCCUCACAUUGCUCACAUCCCAUCUAUUAUAAUUGAUGGGCAACAGAUUCAGUGAUGAUCAUACAAUAUAUAGGUAACAAUAUUUUUCUGCACCUCUAUUUAUAUUUUCUCCCUGUACCUGAUAAUUCUUUUUUUUUCUUCCUGGAUUUGGAUGAUUCGUAAUUUGUUGUAUGCAUGUAAUCCAAGUUGACUAUGCGUGUAAUUUGUUUACUCUGCUACUUCUUUCUAAGUGGACUAACAAUAUUGAUUUUUUCUUAUAUAGACAAAUUUAAAAAAAUUACAGCAGUAUGAAUCUACUGAAGUUAUCAAAUUAUUCUGAUUUUUCACUUUGUUAUAUCUAAAUGUCUAUUUUCACCUUUUUCAAUGAUGUUAAUCUGUGUUCAGAGGAUAUUGUUUAGGUUGACCAAAAGUUUGGGUUUUCUGUAAGAGGUUGUCAACAGCUUUUUGUGCAGUGUUGAUGUAAUUGUUCAGUUAUCUUAUCACUAAAGUUAGAAUGCCAAAAGGAGUCUUUAACAUAAGCAUAAAAGGGAGUUGUGGACAGAUUAUUGUCAGUUGUUUCACUUCCCCUGUUUUUAUUCAUUGAUCAAUGCAAAAUUAUCUUUUAUACAAUGAGGCAGCCUUGGAUGUUUGUGUCAUAUCUUUUUAGAAGCAAAACCAAAAUUUAAUGUGAAACACUGGUGAAAUAAGCUGAGAUUUUAUAGGCACUUGCUUUUGUAAGGAAUAUGUUAACAUUAUUUCUUUAUUUUUUACUACGUGUUUAUAAUGGGAUGAUGACAUUUUUUCCAUUGUUUGAAGCAGGAAGAUUUCAUCUUGCCAAUUUCCUUCCAAAGCAGACUGUUGUUGAAUUGAAACCAAGAGAAAUUUCUAUUGGUAAACUUUACCACUUAUUUGGUUUGUUUUACCAAUUUCAUUUACUUUCUAUAAGGAAUCCAUUAACACCCAACUUCUUACUUCUUUCUGCGUGUCUUUAUUGGGAUUAUGGACUUUUUCUGAUAGAUUGAGAGAGUACGAAUUGAUUUCAACUUGCCAAUGCCAUUGUGAAGAAGAGUACUACAAUCCAUGGAUUGGAAGCUUUACUCUCAACAGCGCCAUCACUAUCUAUGUUACAGUUUGAUGGCAAUUCUAUGUGAGAGUUAAAUUUUACUUUUGAGUGUUUGAAUUCAAUAAAGGCUAGCUCGUGAAAAUAAUUUAACAACUUGACCUCUGGUGGCUUUGUAGAUGACAGAAAUUGCACAGCAUGCAACUCUUUCACCUUUUCUUCCCAAGAAGUAAGUGAUCUUGAAUUUAAGGUAAAUUAGCUUAUCACUUAAUGCUCUAUAGAAUUUACUGUGCAUAGAAUGUUGAAUAUUUUUUCAUUGCUAUAACGUUAUAAAAUUUUCAUUUUCUAUAGAAAAAUAAGAGGUAUCAUGACUAGCUCACCAACUCCCUUUCGAGGCAUUCUUGAAAUGCAGGUAUAUUCCCAAAGCAUAUCUAUUGCAGAAGUGAUGACUCCAUAUUAUAGUUUCUUUAGUUUUUGUUCUUGAUCUUUUGCAUAUCUUUAGUUUUUUAGACUAGUUAUUUGUGAAUGAAGGCAAACAACACUUGCUAAGUAGCGGCUCGAGUGAUUGGGAGAAUAGUAUGGAGUUGAGCUGUUUGGAAAACCCCUUUGCUUCUUUCAAAAUCAAUGUCAAUAGUUCCAUAUUGGCCGUUCUUUGAGGUCUUUGAACAGUGGCUUCAAUUCUAGUCUGUAGGCCUUUACUUAAUUAACCCAAACUGUUAAGGGGACCUAAAUACAAAUGUUCUUUCCAAUGUAUAUGGAGAAGACUUUUGGGAUACUGUUCUGGGAUUUACUAUUUGCUACAUUUGGGUGCUGCAAAGUGUCAAAGAAUUGUCAAUCAAAGAAUGUCCCCAAUUGUUGAAAAAAUGUAAAAAAGAGACUGAAAUCUAGUGGCCUCACAUUGCUCUCAUCCUGUCUAUUUAUAUUGAUGGCCAACAGAUUCAAUGAUGAUCAUACAGUACAGGUAACCAUAUUUUUCUUCUCCUCUGUUUAUAUUUUCUCUCUUUAUCUUUUAUUUCCUUCUUUUUUUCUUCCUGGAUUUGAAUGAUUUGUACUUUGUUCUAUACAUGUAAUCCAAGUUGGUAUACCGAUUGCCUAUACUUUGUACAGAUAGCAUACUUAUUGUGAAAGCAUUAAAUUUCAUACUCUUGUACGGAUAAAUUUAAAAAAACAGUAUUAUAAACGUACUUAAGUUACUUAAUUAUUCUGAUUUUUAGUUGUUAUAUCAAUUCCCAACUUCUUCUGUUUAACAUAAACAUAAAAUGGAGUUAUGGACAGAUUAUUGUCAGUUGUUUCACUUUCCCUGUUUUGUGCAUUGAUCAAUGCAAAAUCAUCUCUUAUACAAUGAGGCAACGUUGGAUGUUUGUGUCGUAUCUUUUCAGAAGCAAAACCAAAAUUAAAUAGAAAAGGAUCGCAGGACAGAUAGCUUCUAUCAUAGAGAUUCUAAAUAAUUGAAUAACUGAUGAAAUAAGCUGAGAUGUGAGAGUGAGUAUUCCUGAAAAUUUCAACUAAAAGUUUGUUAGAAUAUCCAGUCAAGACUCCGGAGCUGAAAGCUAGUAAUAAUAGAAACAAAUGUGAAAGUCUGCUUGUACAUUUCCUGCCAUAUUUGUUGUGAUGAGGAGAUAUUGCUAUAGGUAAUAUUUUCGCCUCUUCUUCUUGAUGUUGGCACUUGCUUUUGUAAAGAAUAUAUUAACAUCAGUUCUUUCUUUUUGUAUGUGUUAAUAAUGGGAUGAUGACAUGUUUUCAUUGUUUGAAGUAGGACGAUUUUAUCUUGCUAAUUUCCUUCCAGAGCAAACAGUUGUUGAAAUUUCUAUUGGUAAACUUUACCACUUAUUCGGUUUGUCUUACCAAUUUUAUAUGCUUUCUAUAAGGAAUCUAUUAACACCUAACUUCAUACUUCUUUUUGCAUGUCUUUAUUAGGAUUAUAGACUUUUUCUGAUAGUUUGAGAGAGAACAUGCGGAUUUCAACAUGCCGAUGCCAUUGUGAAGUAGAGUACUAGAAUCGGUAGAUCGAAGGCUUUACUCUCAACAGUGUUAUCACUAUCUAUGUUACAGUUUGAUGGCAAGUCUAUGUGAGAGUUAAAUUUUGCUUUGGGUGUUCAAAUUCAAUAAAGACUAACUGAUGAAAAUAAUUGAAUAGCUUGACGUCUGGUUUCCUUUUAGGUAAAAAAGACUGCACAACAUGCAACUCUUUCACCUUCUUUUCUCAAGAAGUGAGCCUUGGUCUAAUGAUCUUGAAUUCAAGGUUAAUUGGCUUUUCAUUUAUUGCUAUGUUAUAUAUGAGGAAUGUGCUUUGUAUAGAAUCCUCAAUAUUUUUGCAUUGCUCUAACAUUUAAGAUUUUUGUUUUCUAUAGAAAAGAAAGAGAUGCCAAUGACUUGCCUGCCAACUCCCUUCCGGCCAUUUUUGAAAUACAGGUAUUCUCAAAGCAUUUUUUAUGAGGAAUGACUUGCUUUUGUAAAGAAUAUAUUAACAUCGGUUCUUUCUUGUUUGUACGUUAAUGGGAUGAUGACAUUUUUCAUUAUUUGAAGCAGGAUGAUUAUAUCAUGCUAAUUUCCUUCCAGAGCAGACUGUUGUUAAAUUGAAACCAAGAGAAAUUUCUAUUGGUAAAAUUUACCACUUAUUUGGUUUGUUUUAUCAAUUUUAUUUACUUUCUAUAAGGUAUCCAUUAACACCCAACUUCUUACUUCUUUCUGCAUGUCUUUAUUGGGAUUAUGGACUUUUUCUGAUAGAUUGAGAGAGUAAAUAUUGAUUUCAACUUACAAAUGCCAUUGUGAAGAAGAGUGCUACAAUCCAUGGAUUGGAAGCUUUACUCUCAACAGCGUCAUCACUAUCUAUGUUACAGUUUGAUGGAAAUUCUAUGUGAGAGUUAAAUCUACAUUGAGUAUUUGAAUUCAAUAAAGGAUAACUCAUGAAAAUAAUUUAACAGCUUAACCUCUGGUGUCCUUUUAGAUUACAACGAUUGCACAGCAUGCAACUCUUUCACCUUUUCUUCCCAAGAAGUGAGCCUUGGUCUAACGAGCUUGAAUUUAAGGUAAAUUAACUUAUCACUUAUUGCUCUAUAUAAUUUACUGUGCAUAGAAUGUUGAAUAUUUUUUCGCUGCUAUAACGUUAUAAGAUUUUCAUUUUCCAUAGAAAAAUAAGAGGUGUCAUGACUUGGUCACCAACUCCCUUUUAAGGCAUUCUUGAAAUGCAGGUAUAUUCUUGAAGCAUAUCUAUUGCAAAAGUGAUGACUAUAUAUUAUAGUUUCUUUAGUUUUUGUUCUUGAUUUUUUGCAUAUCUUGUUCCUUAAUGCUUGCUUAUAACAAUGGAUUUUUGGACUAGUUAUCUGUGAAUGAUGGCAAACAACACUUGCUAAGUAGUGGCUUGAGUGAUUGGGAGAAUAGUCUGGAGCCGAUCUGGUUGGAAACCCCCUUUGCUUCUUUCAAAAUCAAUGUCAAUAGUUCCAUAUUGGCCAUUCUUGGAGGUCUUUAAACAGUGGCUUCAAUUCUAGUCUGUGGGCCUCUACUCAAUUAACCCAAACUAUUAAGGGGACCUAAAUAGAAAUGUUCUUUCCAAUGUAUAUAGAGAAGACUUUUGCGAUACUGUUCUGGGAUUUACUAUUUGCUACAUUUGGGUGCUGUUAAGUGUCAAAGAAUUCUCAAUCAAAGAACGUUCCCAAUUGCAGGAAAGAUGUAAAAAGAAGACCAGAAUCCAGUGGCCUCAUAUUGCUCUCAUCCUGACUAUUUAUAUUGAUGGCCAACAGAUUCAAUGAUGAUCACACAAUGCAGGUAACCAUAUUUUUCUUUACCUCUGUUUAUAUUUUCUCCCUUUAUUUGAUAAUUCCUUUUUUUUUUCUUCUUGGAUUUGAAUGAUUCGUUCUUUGUUCAAUACAUGGAAUCCAAGUUGGUAUACUGAUUCGCCUACACUGUGUACAGAUAGCAUACUUAUUGUGAAAGCAUUAAUUUCCUUCCAGAGCAGACAGUUGUUGAAUUGAAACCAAGAGAAAUUUUUAAAUAUAUUUAUCUGAAAUAUGUUUAAUGUUUGUUUAACAUUAAAUUGAAAUUUAAUGUUGAAUUGAAAUUUCUAAAUAAAUUUAACAGCAUUAAUUUGACUUUGGAAGAUGCUAGUAUAAGGCCUUUGCAACAAACAUUGAAGAUGACGAUGACCGAGGCUAACAAGACAUCAGAAGAAGCAUCAUCAUCAUCAAGGAGCACAUGUCAUUCAUAUUCUUCGGCUACCCUUCCUCUCUCCAUUUUGAAGCGUCUGAGACUUAAAGGCAUUAAGGAUUUAGAAGAUCUGCUAGAAGAGUUCCUACUGCCGUAUUGCCCUAAAUUGGAAUUGUUACUGCCGCAAAAGAUGAGUUGCCUCACCUUUUUACAACAAUUAUGGGUUGAAAAUUGCCCUAAUUUGAGGGCUUUGCCCGACUGGAUACUCAAUCUCACUUCCCUUAGCAGUCUUCGAAUUAAGGAGUGCCUUGAAUUACAGUCCAUUUCGGAAGGGACGCCUCAGCUUACAUCUUUAGAAGAAUUAUCUGUUCAGAAUUGUCAUAAUUUGAGGGCUUUGCCAGAGUGGAUACUCAAUCUCACUUCCCUUAAAACACUUCAAAUUUGGGGGUGCGUUGAAUUACAGCACAUGCCAAAAGGGACGCAUCAGCUUACCUCUUUAAAAGAAUUGUGGGUAGGGAAAUGCCUUAAUCUGAGGGCUUUGCCAAGCUGGAUACUUAAUCUCACUUCCCUUAAAACACUUGGAAUUUAGGAGUGCCUUGAAUUACAGUACAUGCCAGAAGGGACGCAUCAGCUUACCUCUUUAAAAGAAUUGUCCGUAGGCAAUUGCCCUAAUUUGAGGGCUUUGCCGGAUUGGAUACUCAAUCUCACUUCCCUUACAAACCUUCUAAUUAAGGGGUGCUUUGAAUUACAGUCCACGCCAAAAGGGACGCAUCAGCUUACCUCUUUAAAAGAAUUGUCCAUUGAAAAUUGCCCUCAUCUUAGGGCUUUGCCUGACUGGAUACUCAAUCUCACUUCUCUUGAAACACUUCAAAUUUGGAAUUGCCUUGAAUUACAGUACAUGCCAGAAGGGACGCAUUGGCUUGCAUCUUUAGAAGAAUUAAUUGUUUACUGCCAUAAUUUGAGGGCUUUUCCAGACUGGAUACUUGAAUCUCACUUCCCCAAAGAUCUUUAUAUUUGCGAGUGCCUUGAAUCACCGUACUUGCAAGAAAGGAUGCAUAACCUCACCUCUUUACAACGAAUGAUAGUGGAAUCUUGCCCUAAUCUGAGUUCUUCUAGACAUUCUCUCAAAACACUUCUAAGUCGGGGGUGCCCUGAUUUAUACUCCUGGAGAAUGACGCAUUCUUGGUCCUCUUUAGAAGAAUUGAAUGUUCAAAAUUGCCCUAAUCUAAGGAAAUUGUUGGAUCGCAUACCAUUUUUAAUCCCUUGCCUCAAAACACUUAAGAUUUGUAAGUGCCCUGAAUUACAAGAAUUGCAAAGGAUGGAUCGCCUUACCUCUUUACAAGUAUUGUCAAUCAGUGAAUGUCCAAAAUUGUCGGAAAGAUGUGAAAAGGAAACCGGAAUCCUGUGGCAUCACAUUGCUCACAUCCCAUCUAUUAUAAUUGAUGGGCAACAGAUUCAAUGAUGAUCAUACAAUAU
rnacentral:lncRNA from 1 species